rfam:Triticum aestivum genome assembly, contig: Triticum_aestivum_CS42_TGACv1_scaffold_288345_4AL
UUAAUACUCCCUUUGUCUCAAAAUUCUUGUCUUAAAUUUGUCUAAAUAUGGAUAUAUCAAGUCACGUUUUAGUAUUAGAUAAAUCCAUAUCUAGACAAAUCUAAGACAAGAAUUUUUGGACGGAGGGAGUAUCUC